GAUCUAAAGCAAAAUUGGCCUUUGGGGUGGACGACAAUUAAAAAAAUGAAUUGUUACAAAAAUGAGUCUAUAUUGGAGAACGUCCUCUCCCCAAAAUAGAGAAGACGUUAACCGCAGGUGUUCUCACGGUGUUAGCCAGACAGAGUGUGCUGCCUAAAUUAGCACUCGUACAAGGAGAAAUAAAUAUGGCGGAGGAGUUCCAAGUCCAGUGGUACACGACUUGGAAGAGGUGGGAGAUCAGGAGGACUGGUCCAAGAUCAUGAAGAGAGAAUCCAGUAGUUGAGAAGAGAACUUGAGGUCCAGUGGUACACGACUUGGAAGAGGUGGGAGAUCAGGAGGACUGGUCCAAGAUCAUGAAGAGAGAAUCCAGUAGUUGAGAAGAGAACUUGAGGAUUUUAUCGAAGGAGAAAUUCGAAAAUAAAUUAACAUUACAAAGCUGCAGUGAACUCAGAUUCUACGGUAUACGAAACUGUAUCAGGCACAAAACACAAACUGAUGUUACUGAGAAUACCCCCUGUCCAUUUACCCCACAAUCUGUAGAACUACUCCUUGAAAGCAGAAAGGGCAGCAAAGACGUUUACCAAACUCUCUUUAAACCGGCUAAGAAUAGAAAAAUUGAAAAAAGGUGGAACUUGAAAUUAAACACUGAUACAAAGUAUGAAAUUGUAAAUAGUAACUGUUUUAGGUCUACAAAUGAAACCAAACUCCAAUGAUUUCAGUAUCGGACAAUACACAGAAUCUUGCCGGUAAAAUCAUACUUGAAAACUAUUGGUGUGGAAGAGGACGAUGACUGCCCAUAUUGUGGUGAAGAUAAGGAGAAUAUUUCACAUAUUUUGUUUCAUUGUGCAAGAAGUAAAGACAUCUGGUGGGACUUAAAAAAAUCAUAUCUUUACCAGAACGGAUAAUGAGGUCAUUCUUUAAGGAGAAAAUACCCUUUUUGGUUUUCCUUCUAACUUUGUUAGUCCAAUAAACUUUAUUAUAAUAGCUACUAAAUUUUAUAUUAACCGGUGCACAAAAAGAAAGAGAAUAUGCAGCUUUCAUCGCUUCUCAAUUUUUUGAAAGAAAAAUAUACCACAGGGAGAUACAUCUCAUCAAAAAAACUAUGGGGUAUUUGGAGCAACAUUAUUCAAUGACCAAAUUAUGAAAAUUGUGGUGUUCAUACAUUUUCAAAUAUUUUAUUUUGGCAGUAAGCUAUUGCACAUAUCAAUGCAGAAAUGACAGACAUAAAAGCGAACAUUUUUUU